CCAGCCCUAAAGGGACUGGGCUUGCAAGAGUAAUCAAGCAAGCCGUACUGACCAGACCACCCUGAGUUUACUCUCAUGGUAGCCGUUAUUUGAGUCACGACACCCCGGAAUGCGAAGCUAGUUCCCUGCUCUGUCGCUUGUGAUUAAACAGUUCUAAGGUCACUGGAACAGUGUUGCAAGCCUAACAAGCUCUUAUAACAGGUCGUUCGCGCCAGCGUGCCGGAGGCAUCUAGCUAACAUUACCCCAGAAAUGGG
rnacentral:sRNA from 1 species